GGUCUCAUGAAGGAGCACGUUGAGAAGAAAUGCUGGAGAGACUCCUUUCCUCCACAGAGGUUACAUCUGUUUACGGCGUGCAAGAUUUUUGCGACGUGCUCAACAUUGUCAACAAGCACCGUUACAUCAUCGGCAAACGCCAGCACUGGUGUUAUCAUACCUACUGAAGUGUUCUUACAUAUUAGCGUGAUACGGCUUCUUUUGAAAGAGUCCGGUAAGUGUUUUUUGUCAAACGCUUCAUUUAUCAUUUUUGUGAAUGGUUUCGAAAUUAAGUUCCAAAAUCGU